rnacentral:rRNA from 1 species
GAGUGGACUCCUACGGGAGGCAGCAGUGGGGAAUAUUGCACAAUGGGCGAAAGCCUGAUGCAGCGACGCCGCGUGAGGGAUGGAGGCCUUCGGGUUGUAAACCUCUUUCGCUCAUGGUCAAGCCGCGACGUGGGUUGUGGUGAGGGUAGUGGGUAAAGAAGCGCCGGCUAACUACGUGCCAGCAGCCGCGGUAAUACGUAGGGCGCGAGCGUUGUCCGGAAUUAUUGGGCGUAAAGGGCUUGUAGGCGGUUGGUCGCGUCUGCCGUGAAAUUCUCUGGCUUAACUGGGGGCGUGCGGUGGGUACGGGCUGACUUGAGUGCGGUAGGGGAGACUGGAACUCCUGGUGUAGCGGUGGAAUGCGCAGAUAUCAGGAAGAACACCGGUGGCGAAGGCGGGUCUCUGGGCCGUUACUGACGCUGAGGAGCGAAAGCGUGGGGAGCGAACAGGAUUAGAAACCCCGGUAGUCCUAG